rnacentral:rRNA from 1 species
UACAGAGGGGGCAAGCGUUGUUCGGAAUUACUGGGCGUAAAGGGCGCGUAGGCGGCCUUCUAAGUCGAACGUGAAAUCCCUGGGCUCAACCCAGGAACUGCGUCCGAGACUGGAAGGCUUGAAUCCGGGAGAGGGAUGUGGAAUUCCAGGUGUAGCGGUGAAAUGCGUAGAUAUCCGGAGGAACACCGGUGGCGAAGGCGGCUUCCUGGACCGACACUGACGCUGAGGCGCGAAAGCUAGGGGAGCAAACGGG